rnacentral:rRNA from 1 species
GCCUGAUCCAGCCAUACCGCGUGGGUGAAGAAGGCCUUCGGGUUGUAAAGCCCUUUUGUUGGGAAAGAAAAGCAGUCGGCUAAUACCCGGUUGUUCUGACGGUACCCAAAGAAUAAGCACCGGCUAACUUCGUGCCAGCAGCCGCGGUAAUACGAAGGGUGCAAGCGUUACUCGGAAUUACUGGGCGUAAAGCGUGCGUAGGUGGUUGUUUAAGUCUGUUGUGAAAGCCCUGGGCUCAACCUGGGAAUUGCAGUGGAUACUGGGCGACUAGAGUGUGGUAGAGGGUAGUGGAAUUCCCGGUGUAGCAGUGAAAUGCGUAGAGAUCGGGAGGAACAUCCAUGGCGAAGGCAGCUACCUGGACCAACACUGACACUGAGGCACGAAAGCGUGGGGAGCAAACAGGAUUAGAUACCCUGGUAGUCCACGCCCUAAACGAUGCGAACUGGAUGUUGGGUGCAAUUUGGCACGCAGUAUCGAAGCUAACGCGUUAAGUUCGCCGCCUGGGGAGUACGGUCGCAAGACUGAAACUCAAAGGAAUUGACGGGGGCCCGCACAAGCGGUGGAGUAUGUGGUUUAAUUCGAUGCAACGCGAAGAACCUUACCUGGUCUUGACAUGUCGAGAACUUUCCAGAGA